AGAUUGAACGCUGGCGGCAGGCCUAACACAUGCAAGUCGAGCGGCAGCACGGGUACUUGUACCUGGUGGCGAGCGGCGGACGGGUGAGUAAUGCCUAGGAAUCUGCCUGGUAGUGGGGGAUAACGCUCGGAAACGGACGCUAAUACCGCAUACGUCCUACGGGAGAAAGCAGGGGACCUUCGGGCCUUGCGCUAUCAGAUGAGCCUAGGUCGGAUUAGCUAGUUGGUGAGGUAAUGGCUCACCAAGGCGACGAUCCGUAACUGGUCUGAGAGGAUGAUCAGUCACACUGGAACUGAGACACGGUCCAGACUCCUACGGGAGGCAGCAGUGGGGAAUAGUUGGACAAUGGGCGAAAGCCUGAUCCAGCCAU
rnacentral:rRNA from 1 species